rnacentral:lncRNA from 1 species
CUGGCGGGGCUGCGUGCCUGCUGCAGUUGUGUUUAUCAUUCAUCAGAGAAGAGAAGCAACCUGCCAGGCCGGCAAGUCAGGCCCCGCAGAGAGAAGACUUAAGAUUAUAUACGUGUAGCUGGCACAGGACCUUGCUAGCACAGGACCUCACUCCCAGCUCCUCCUGCAGCUCAACAUGGCCAGGUGACUGGUUCUCACUAAAGCAACUCCUUAGAGGUAAAGUGGACACUUCAUCUGCCUUACCAGUGCCCAUGCACGUCCUCAUCUUCCUUACCAAGAGAACCCAGAACUGGUUCAGAGAUCCAGGCCUCCCACCUCAGGUGACUCCACCCUCAGACUGAUCUGAGGAUAAUCCCAUUCCCCCUAACAAUGGGAAGGGCCAUGUGAACCAAUUCUGGCCAAUGAGAGAGGGAAAAGAGUCUGUUAGGAAACUUAGGGAAAACCUCUCCUCUCUUCUAAGAGACUCAUAAGAAGAGAGCUUCUCUUCCUCCUCUGGACGCUGUCCUGUGUGUAGCACUCAGGACUGCUGAAGACAUCUAGGUAACAGCUUGAAGGUGAAACCAGCACUGAGGUUUCCUGAUUCCUGGGUGGAGCGCAGACUGGAGCCUAAGCCCUGACAGCAUGGGACUUGCAGCUCAAGUAUAUCUGUGCUUCACUGGAAGAGUUGAAAGAGCUGGAGACUGUCUGUGAUCAAUGAGCCCCUGUCACUCUCAUGACACUUUCCUGAACCAUUUCACCAGCACUCAGGCAGAAGAGGAGGACAGCAGGUGAAGUCAGAGAGAUUCAAAGCACAAGGAUUCAACUUUCUGUUGCUGGCCUUGAAGAUGCAGGAGGCCAUGAGCCAAGGAAUGCAAGCAGCCUCUGGAAGUUGAAAACGACCUAAGUGCUCAGUCCUACAGCUGCAUGGAACUGAAAUCUGCCAACACCCUGAGUGAUCCGGAAGUGGAUUUUCUCCCAAAGCCUCCUGAUAGGAGCCCCAGCCAGCUGACAGAUUGACUUCAGCACUAUGACAUCAAAGAGCCCACCCAAGGCUGUUACUGGAAGGAGGGCCUUGAGUGUAAGUUAUUCAGUUUCUUGGCGUUUUGAACAAAGACUUGGACAAAACACACAAAGUAACAAAGGACUGAAACAUAGGAACGAAGUAGGGAAAGCAGGAAUGUAUUAAAGUGAAAAAGGACCCCACAGGGUGGGAGUCGGCCCAAGCAGGUGGCUCAAGGGCCCAGUUGCAAAGUUUUCUGGGUUUUAAGUUCUCCUGUUCAGAUUCCUAUUGGCUACCCUUUAUCUGGAUGAAGAAUUUGGCCUGUGGCUAAUUAAAGGAUGAAGUGAAUUGGUGUCCUAUGCGAUGAAGGGAUGGUCCCUGCUUGGUCCUCGGCCCAUCGAAGGCACUCUCCCUGUCCAUCUGAGACAUUGAGUAGCCUUUGCUCCUUUGCUACUCUGGAGCGGGGAGGUGGGGUUUUUCCUUUUGGUUUAGCUUUAGGAAGUUGGUUUAAUUGGCCUUAGCUUCCCUGACCGUAGACCCAGGUGCUAUCCUUUUGAUUCAGCUUUAGGAAGUCAGCACGAAUUGGCCUCAGAUUCCGUGUCCCCACACCUUGGUGUUUUUCCUGGAUUCAGCACCAAUUGUCCUUAAGUUCCCUGCCUCCAGACCCUUAUUCUCCUUCCUGAAGACAGCUUGAACUUCUGACCCACAGAACUAGGAGCUAAUAAAUGAGUGUAGUUUUAAGCCACCGAGUUUGGCAAUUUGUUACAACAGCUGUCGAAAAUGAAUGUAAUCUACAAAAUAGGAGACUGUCACUUAGGGGAGGGACAGUAAUGCGUUGUGAGCACCUGGAGGGCAGAAACUGGGUGUUAUUUAUUUGGAGGCCUUACAGCCUGAUAUGUAGUAAAUGCUCAAUAAAUAUAAGUGAAUGAAUCAAUGAAUAAAUGUUAAAAGGAUAAGCAAAGGAGC